rnacentral:piRNA from 1 species
CUGGAUCUCGUGGAGGCAUUUCCUCAA